UGAUUAGCCGUGGCUUAUUCCUGAGGUACCCUCAGAACUUGUUCCCUCNGAAAAGUAGUUUACACCCCGAAGGGAGUCAUCCUACACGCGGCAUUGCUCCGUCAGGCUUUCGCCCAUUGCGGAAUAUUCCUCA
rnacentral:rRNA from 1 species